UUCUUUAUUUUAAAAAUUUUUAUUACUUAAGUAGUGUGAACAAUUAAUUUAUAGAGAGUAAUUAUAUUAUUAUUAGAAUGUUUGAAACUUAAAAGGCUUGGCGGUGUUAUAUAUCCUUCCAGGGGAGCUUGCUUAUUAAUUUGAUAACCCCCAAUUUAUACUUACUUUUUUUUGAAUAAUUAGAUAAAUCAGUUUGUGUAUUGCUGUCAUCAGUUUAUUUUGUAAAAAUUUUAUAAGAAACUUAAUAAUGAAUUAAUUACGAUGUCAAGUCAAAAUGCAGCUAAUAAAAAAGGUUUAUAAAGUGAGCUACAAUUUAUAAUUUUUAAAUCGGAUUAAAUUAUGUAAUUGAUUUAUGAAGUUGGACUUGGUAGUAAUAUUAUAAAUAGUAAGUUUUUAUGAAUUAGGUUUUAUAAUGCG
rnacentral:rRNA from 1 species